rnacentral:rRNA from 1 species
AACGAACGCUGGCGGCAUGCCUAACACAUGCAAGUCGAACGAGAACUUCGGGUCUAGUGGCGCACGGGUGCGUAACGCGUGGGAACCUGCCCUUAGGUUCGGAAUAACUCCCCGAAAGGGGUGCUAAUACCGGUUAAUGUCUUCGGACCAAAGAUUUAUCGCCUUUGGAUGGGCCCGCGUUGGAUUAGCUAGUUGGUAGGGUAAAAGCCUACCAAGGCGACGAUCCAUAGCUGGUCGGAGAGGAUGAUCAGCCACACUGGGACUGAGACACGGCCCAGACUCCUACGGGAGGCAGCAGUAGGGAAUAUUGGACAAGGGGCGAAAGCCUGAUCCAGCAAUGCCGCGUGAGUGAUGAAGGCCUUAGGGUUGUAAAGCUCUUUUACCCGGGAUGAUAAUGACAGUACCGGGAGAAUAAGCUCCGGCUAACUCCGUG